rnacentral:rRNA from 1 species
GCUGGACUCCGGGCGGAGAGCCGGGGUAGUACGGAGGGAGCGGGAGUUGUUCGGAUUUACGUGGAGAUAAGCGUGGGUAGGCGGUUGUUCAAGUAAGAAGGGAAAGCCCUGGGCUCAACCCAGGAAUGGCUUUUGAAACUGGAUCACUAGAAUGUGGGAGAGGCAAGCAGAAUUCCGAGUGUAGAGGUGAAAUUCGUAGAUAUUCGGAGGAAUACCAAGGGCGUAGGCAGCUUGCUGGAACACUAUUGACGCUGAGACACGAAAGCAUGGGGAGCAAACAGGAUUAGAUACCCCUGUAGC